rnacentral:rRNA from 2 species
UACCCGCGACAGGACGGAAAGACCCCAUGGAGCUUUACUGUAGCUUGAUAUUGAGUGUUUGUACAGCUUGUACAGGAUAGGUAGGAGCCAUAGAAACCGGAACGCUAGUUUCGGUGGAGGCGUUGGUGGGAUACUACCCUCGCUGUAUGACCACUCUAACCCGCACCACUAAUCGUGGUGGGAGACAGUGUCAGGUGGGCAGUUUGACUGGGGCGGUCGCCUCCUAAAAAGUAACGGAGGCGCCCAAAGGUUCCCUCAGAAUGGUUGGAAAUCAUUCGCAGAGUGUAAAGGCACAAGGGAGCUUGACUGCGAGACAGACAGGUCGAGCAGGGACGAAAGUCGGGCUUAGUGAUCCGGUGGUACCGUAUGGAAGGGCCAUCGCUCAACGGAUAAAAGCUACCCUGGGGAUAACAGGCUUAUCUCCCCCAAGAGUCCACAUCGACGGGGAGGUUUGGCACCUCGAUGUCGGCUCAUCGCAUCCUGGGGCUGUAGUCGGUCCCAAGGGUUGGGCUGUUCGCCCAUUAAAGCGGUACGCGAGCUGGGUUCAGAACGUCGUGAGACAGUUCGGUCCCUAUCCGUCGCGGGCGUAGGAAAUUUGAGAGGACCUGUCCUUAGUACGAGAGGACCGGGAUGGAC